GGAUGGGCGAGCCUGAUCCAGCCAUGCCGCGUGUGUGAAGAAGGCCUUUUGGUUGUAAAGCACUUUAAGCAGUGAAGAAGACUCCGUGGUUAAUACCCAUGGACGAUGACAUUAGCUGCAGAAUAAGCACCGGCUAACUCUGUGCCAGCAGCCGCGGUAAUACAGAGGGUGCAAGCGUUAAUCGGAAUUACUGGGCGUAAAGGGAGCGUAGGUGGCUCUAUAAGUCAGAUGUGAAAUCCCCGGGCUUAACCUGGGAACUGCAUCUGAAACUGUAGAGCUAGAGUAUGUGAGAGGAAGGUAGAAUUCCAGGUGUAGCGGUGAAAUGCGUAGAGAUCUGGAGGAAUACCGAUGGCGAAGGCAGCCUUCUGGCAUAAUACUGACACUGAGGCUCGAAAGCGUGGGUAGCAAACAGGAUUAGAUACCCUGGUAGUCCACGCCGUAAACGAUGUCUACUAGUCGUUGGGUCCCUUGAGGACUUAGUGACGCAGCUAACGCAAUAAGUAGACCGCCUGGGGAGUACGGCCGCAAGGUUAAAACUCAAAUGAAUUGACGGGGGCCCGCACAAGCGGUGGAGCAUGUGGUUUAAUUCGAUGCAACGCGAAGAACCUUACCUGGUCUUGACAUAUCUAGAAUCCUGCAGAGAUGCGGGAGUGCCUUCGGGAAUUAGAAUACAGGUGCUGCAUGGCUGUCGUCAGCUCGUGUCGUGAGAUGUUGGGUUAAGUCCCGCAACGAGCGCAACCCUUGUCCUUAGUUACCAGCGGGUUAAGCCGGGAACUCUAAGGAUACUGCCAGUGACAAACUGGAGGAAGGCGGGGACGACGUCAAGUCAUCAUGGCCCUUA
rnacentral:rRNA from 1 species